UUGCACAUAUUUUUUGUUGCCCUGGUACCGGAGGCAGCCACAGUUCUGUCUGGGUUACCAUGGUAAUGCUACAUGUCACUUGUAGUAAUAUACACAUUCUAUACAU